UACGGAGGGUGCAAGCGUUAUCCGGAUUUACUGGGUUUAAAGGGUGCGCAGGCGGAUAUGUAAGUCAGUGGUGAAAUCUCCGGGCUUAACCCGGAACUGCCGUUGAUACUAUAUAUCUUGAAUGCUGUGGAGGUAAGCAGAAUAUGUCAUGUAGCGGUGAAAUGCUUAGAUAUGACAUAGAAUACCUAUUGCGAAGGCAGCUUACUACGCAGAUAUUGACGCUCAUGCACGAAAGCGUGGGGAUCAAACAGGA
rnacentral:rRNA from 1 species